CGUUUGAGCCUGGGCCUGAGCUUGGCUCUGAGCUUGCGACGCGCCACCUCCCCAACCUCCUAAUAAGCUUUGAGUUUGAGCUUGAGCUUGAGCUUGGGCUUGAGCGUCAGCUCCACCCCAUCCGCCUAGUACUUGAGCCUGAGCUUGAGCCUGAGCCUGAGCUUGAGCGUCAGCUGCACCACCAGCACCACCUAAACCUAGGGCUUGAGCUAGUGCUUGAGCUUGGGCUUGAGCUGAACCUCCAGCACCUC